UCACUGAAAUUUGUUGGCCUAAGUAAGU
rnacentral:sRNA from 1 species